rnacentral:rRNA from 1 species
UACGGGGGGGGCAAGUGUUCUUCGGAAUGACUGGGCGUAAAGGGCACGUAGGCGGUGAGUCGGGUUGAAAGUGAAAGUCGCCAAAAAGUGGCGGAAUGCUCUCGAAACCAAUUCACUUGAGUGAGACAGAGGAGAGUGGAAUUUCGUGUGUAGGGGUGAAAUCCGUAAAUAUACGAAGGAGCGCCAAAAGCGAAGGCAGCUCUCUGGGUCCCUACCGACGCUGGGGUGCGAAAGCAUGGGGAGCGAACAGG